rnacentral:rRNA from 1 species
CGCGGGGCGAAUUGUAGUUUCUAGGGACGCCUACUCCUCGGAGGGCGGCCCAGGCGCGCAAGUCCGCUGGAACGCGGCACCAGAGAGGGUGAGAGUCCCGUGGCGCCUGGGGCACCGCUCGCCGCUGUGAGGCGACUCCCAGAGAGUCGGACAGUUUGGGAAUGCUGUCCUAAGCGGGUGGUAAGCGCCAUCCAAGGCUAAAUACCGGCGAGAGACCGAUAGCACACAAGUACCGUGAGGGAAAGGUGAAAAGCACUCUGAAAAGAGAGUGAAACAGCACGUGAAGUCGUCAAAAGGGAAGCGUUUGGCACCAGCGCACAGCGCGCGGUGGCCAUCAUCCUGUCUCCCUCGGGGGACUGGUGCACUGGCCGCCCGCGCACGCCGGCGACGGUUGGGAAUCCCGCGGCACGACGCCGGGCGGAAGGUAGCCCCUCGGGGAACUUACAGCCGCCCGGACCUGUCCCGCCGCGGGUCCGACCGAGGACCGCGCGCCCGUCAAAGGGGAGCACCCCCUCCCAGGCCGUGCCCGGCCGCCGGACCGCCUAGCGGAUCGUGUGGUUUAGGGCCGACCCCGCGUGGGGGAUGCGUACCACCCUCUUGGGUGCAAGGUCGCCGGCAGAAUGGUAUCAAGCGACCCGUCUUGAAACACGGACCAAGGAGUGCAGCCCGUGCGCGAGUGUCAGGGUGGCAAACCCGGGACGCGCAGUGAAAGCGAUUUUGCUCGGCGGGACGGCCUCUUCUAGGGGGCCAGCACCGCCGGCCGGCCGGGAUGGUUCGCGCCUGAACGAGCCGAGUCUGAGCGCAUGAGCUGCGACCCGAAAGAUGGUGAACUAUGCCUGGGUAGGGCGAAGCCAGAGG